CCUACGGGAGGCAGCAGUGGGGAAUAUUGGGCAAUGGGCGCAAGCCUGACCCAGCAACGCCGCGUGAAGGAAGAAGGCUUUCGGGUUGUAAACUUCUUUUCUCAGGGACGAAGAAAGUGACGGUACCUGAGGAAUAAGCCACGGCUAACUACGUGCCAGCAGCCGCGGUAAUACGUAGGUGGCAAGCGUUAUCCGGAUUUAUUGGGUGUAAAGGGCGUGUAGGCGGGAGUGCAAGUCAGAUGUGAAAACCAAGGGCUCAACCCUGGGCCUGCAUUUGAAACUGUGUUUCUUGAGUACUGGAGAGGCAGUCGGAAUGCCGAGUGUAGCGGUGAAAUGCGUAGAUAUCAGGAGGAACACCAGUGGCGAAGGCGGAUUGCUGGACAGCAACUGACGCUGAGGCGCGAAAGCGUGGGGAGCAAACAGGAUUAGAUACCCGGGUAGUC
rnacentral:rRNA from 1 species